AAAAGCCUACGAUUUUUAUAACUCCUCCCCACCUUCUAGCAGACUUAAUACAAGUUUAUCCCAAUAUGUAUAAGUCUUGCAAACAGGACAUUCAACCAGUCUGUGCAUCAGUCACUCCCUGGAACACCCGGAGACCUGUCUUCCUCGCGCUCCAUGGCAGGUUCUGGGGAUGGGGCUGACAGUGGACACUCACUGGCACACCAGCCAGUGCCUACAUCACUGGAGUCCCACAUUGUGACUGUCGCCCUGGGCCAGGAGGCCGCUGUUACCCCAGGUGCAUGACCCUGGCAGACAGUGCUUCAACCCUGAGGCCCAGCUCCAGCCCUUCCUCCCCUGCUGCUUCUCCAGCCUUCCUGUUCCAUGGCCGGGCAGCUUGUCCUCUUCUCCACUGAGUCCAGUCUCUGCAUGAAGCAGAUCUUAAGCACAGCAUUUUCAUCUUUCUGUUCAUCACCCUGGAAUGGGUGCAGAUUCCCCAGUGCCUGAGCAAGAUGACUUCAGGGACUUUCUAGGCAAGACCGUGCCUUUUCCUUCUGAGAGAAAUAAAAUGAGCCGAAUCAUGAACACCCAAGGCAAGGCUUUUAUCAAAGGACAGAGCUAUCGGGCUGUCUGGAACAACGUCAAGAGCGGCAACCUGGGGCUGGCUGGGGAAGGUGAGCGAGCAUGGGGGUUCCCCUCCAUUCCCUGGGGUCAUCAGGUGGAGCUGCGGUGGCAUGGCCAGCUGCCAGGGCAUGCCUGUCAUGGUGAGCAGCAAAGCUGUCGUCUUGGUGACUUUGGAAGCCUCGGGAGGAAGCACUCAGGGUACAAGUCCCAAGUGGAUUUACAGGACUUCUGGAGCCCACACUACCCAAGAAAUAAAUCGUGAACAGGUUUACAGGACCUCCAAGGCGGCCGGCCUAUGGGAGAAGAACUAACCAGACAGAGCUGCUCAAGACCCUUUCCAGCUGGGCAACCCAUAGGAACAGAAACGAAGGUGGCUCGAGCCUGGGGUUAAACCGGCAGAAUCACGUGCGGAAUCACAUUGGCAGCCCCAGGCGGGUCUUAGCGGGAGAAUCUGCCUCCAAGACCCAGCCCUUGCAGACCGAGGCCAGCUUCCAGCAUGGCUGUGACUGGCCAAGGGUCACUCAUUCCCACGCUUUCCAACACAGCUGGGUGCAAGCCAAGGAGGCAAGCAGCAGAGUCAAUCUUUUCCAAGCUCUCUGUGGAAUGGAUGUCACUUAUCCAUGCCCUGUGCCAUAUUUUAUUGGUUAGAAACAACUCAUUAGGCG
rnacentral:lncRNA from 1 species